CCUACGGGAGGCAGCAGUAGGGAAUCUUCCACAAUGGGCGAAAGCCUGAUGGAGCAACGCCGCGUGGGUGAAGAAGGUCUUCGGAUCGUAAAACCCUGUUGUUAGAGAAGAAAGUGCGUGAGAGUAACUGUUCACGUUUCGACGGUAUCUAACCAGACAGCCACGGCUAACUACGUGCCAGCAGCCGCGGUAAUACGUAGGUGGCAAGCGUUAUCCGGAUUUAUUGGGCGUAAAGGGAACGCAGGCGGUCUUUUAAGUCUGAUGUGAAAGCCUUCGGCUUAACCGGAGUAGUGCAUUGGAAACUGGGAGACUGGAGUGCAGAAGAGGAGAGUGGAACUCCAUGUGUAGCGGUGAAAUGCGUAGAUAUAUGGAAGAACACCAGUGGCGAAAGCGGCUCUCUGGUCUGUAACUGACGCUGAGGUUCGAAAGCGUGGGUAGCAAACAGGAUUAGAUAUCCCUGUAGUC
rnacentral:rRNA from 1 species